rnacentral:rRNA from 1 species
AUUGAACGCUGGCGGCAGGCUUAACACAUGCAAGUCGAGCGGUAGCACAAGAGAGCUUGCUCUCUGGGUGACGAGCGGCGGACGGGUGAGUAAUGUCUGGGAAACUGCCUGAUGGAGGGGGAUAACUACUGGAAACGGUAGCUAAUACCGCAUAACGUCGCAGGACCAAAGAGGGGGACCUUCGGGCCUCUUGCCAUCAGAUGUGCCCAGAUGGGAUUAGCUAGUAGGUGGGGUAAUGGCUCACCUAGGCGACGAUCCCUAGCUGGUCUGAGAGGAUGACCAGCCACACUGGAACUGAGACACGGUCCAGACUCCUACGGGAGGCAGCAGUGGGGAAUAUUGCACAAUGGGCGCAAGCCUGAUGCAGCCAUGCCGCGUGUGUGAAGAAGGCCUUCGGGUUGUAAAGCACUUUCAGCGAGGAGGAAGGUGGUGAACUUAAUACGUUCAUCAAUUGACGUUACUCGCAGAAGAAGCACCGGCUAACUCCGUG